UCUCGCGUAGUAUAGUGGUUAGUAUCCGCGCCUGUCACGUGCGAGACCCGGGUUCAAUUCCCGGCGCGAGAG
rfam:Allomyces macrogynus ATCC 38327 genomic scaffold supercont3.24, whole genome shotgun sequence.